rnacentral:rRNA from 1 species
UUCUGGGAGGAUCGACCGAUUGCGAGCUCUUUCUUGGUUCGGUGGAUGGACGUGCAUGUCCGUUCUUAGUUGGUGGAGCGAUUUGUCUGGUUAAUUCUGAUAACGAACGAGACUCUAGCUUAUUAAAUAGGUCCGUGGUUCUCUGCACCUUGCACCCUUCUUAGAGGGACAAGCGGCUCCUAGCCACACGAAACAAAGCAAUAACAGGUGUGUGAUGCCGUUAGAU